ensembl:rRNA 5S_rRNA 5S ribosomal RNA
GCAUACAGCCAUACCACCCUGAGCGCGCCCGAUCUCGUCUGAUCUCGGAAGCUAAGCAGGGUCGGGCCUGGUUAGUACUUGGAUGGGAGACCGCCUGGGAAUACCAGGUGCUGUAAGAU